rnacentral:lncRNA from 1 species
UAAUUAAAAAAAUUAAAAAUAAUGCUAUGUUUAGCUCUAUUUAAUUUAAUGUUUUCUGACUGCUUAAGCUUUUAGGGGCUGUUUGGUUAGAUAUAAUUACAAAAAUAGUGUAGUUAGAAAUAUAUGCAAUUGUAAAUGCUACAGCCAUAAUUACACUUAGUCUGUUUGGUUUUAUACAGUUGCAACUGUCGCAGUUACAUUUCUUCUGUUUGGUAGUUUGCGGUUGAGAUUUGUAUUUGUAAAUUAUGUCAAUUUUUAGAUAGAAAUGUGAGAUUACCUCUUCUGAGCAUAACGUAAUUAUGUUUUAAUUAUUAAUUAAGACUUUUAUAUCCAUAUAUAAUUUAUAUAUUAUAAAAUUAUGUAUGAAUUUAAUAAAUUUUAAAUGUAAAUAUAUUAUAAAUUUAGUCAAAAUAAAAAUUAAGAUAUUAUUAAACUAGCAGACUGGAAAAUAAGAAGCGUAUGAAAAAAAUUUAUUGACCCUAAUAGACAUUAUUAAAUCCCACUUUGUUUAUAUUUUUAAUCGGUAAGCCGACUCCAGCUCAACUACUGCAGUUGGUACUGUAACCAAUUUGGCUGCAGUACCAACUACACAUGCAACUGCAGCAGUUAGGUCUAACUACACUAAACCAAAUAAAAAAUUAAUAGAUACAUGCAUUUCUAACUGCAUUGCAUGUAAUCAAACAAACCCUAGAGCAAACGAUUUAUAGACAAAAAUUUGUUAUUGUUGAUCGAUCUAUUG